rnacentral:rRNA from 1 species
UACGUAGGGUGCGGGCGUAAUCGGAAUUACUGGGCGUAAAGCGUGCGCAGGCGGUUUUGUAAGCCAGAUGUGAAAUCCCCGGGCUUAACCUGGGAAUGGCAUUUGGGACUGCAAGGCUGGAGUACGGCAGAGGAGACUGGAAUUCCUGGUGUAGCAGUGAAAUGCGUAGAGAUCAGGAGGAAUACCGAUGGCGAAGGCAGGUCUCUGGGCUGAUACUGACGCUGAGGAGCGAAAGCGUGGGGAGCGAACAGG